GUACCGAAGUGCAGCGCGUCGCCGCACUCUCGUCCUCACUCACGUCUUGACGUCUCUCCCGUUCGGUUUUGUCGGGUCGCGGGGCUCGCGAUCAUCAGUCUCGCUCGCGCGCCCGACCGGGCAGGACCUGGGUGUGGUGUGCGGCAUCAGUGUAUGAUCGAUCGCGAGGAAUCGACGAUUGUGUUUCUUCCCGAUUUUCACGACGAUCCUCCCGUCGUCGUCGUCGUGAUUUCAUCGAUCAGCGGUUGUCCCCGAGAUGACAUCGUGGCUGCGUCAACCCCGCUGAAGCUACCCUCCUACCUCCGUCGAUGAAGCGGCUCCAGGAUGAUGCAGGACAUCUCUGGCGGCCCCGCCGACGACCAACGUGCCUCGUCCAAGUCAGUACUGCUCAACACCUUCAUCGUGAAGAAGAAACGCUGCCGCGUGUACUUUCAUCGUGGCACGCUCAUCUGGGAGACCGAGCGACCGCCUUACACUAGAUGGACCCUGCCCUUGACGGACGUUCUGGCGGUGCGAUAUGGCGACGACUGGAUAUCGGGUGUGAGCAUUAAGGAGAAGCAGCCGGAGCAGCCGACCUCGCCGACCACGGUGUGCCCAACAAAUUUCAUCUUACACUACGCUGUGCGCGGGUCCAAGAACAAAUGGAGGCAUCACAGCGUGACGAUGAGCCACACGGAUCCCAGGCAAGUCGCCUCGUGGGUGAAGACCAUUCGCAAUUAUCUCCUAGGUCUGACGUAUAGGCCGCGAAAGAUAAUGCUGUUUAUCAAUCCCAUUGGCGGUAAAAAAAAAGGUGUCAAGAUCUGGGAGAAGGAUGUCCAACCACUUAUGACCAUCGCUGGUAUCGAGACAAAAAUGAUGGUCACAGAGCGUGCAGGCCACAUUCGCGACGCUCUGCUCACGGCCGACUUAAGUGACCUACAUGCGGUGGUGUGCAUCGGUGGCGAUGGUACCUUCGCCGAGGCUUUCAACGGGUUGAUUAUGAGGGCGGCGAAGGAUCAGCAGAUCGAUCCCAAUGACCCUGACGCCAGGCUGCCUUGUCCCGCCUUACCCGUUGGCGUUAUACCCAGCGGUAGCACCGACACGGUCGCCUACAGUCUGCAUGGCACAACCGACGUGCAGACUGCCGCUAUACAUAUCAUCUUCGGCGACUCGAUUGGUCUAGACAUCUCGUCGGUCCACAACAAUCGUACCUUACUCAGGCUCUAUGCCAGCGUGUUCAGCUACGGUUAUCUGGGUGACGUGAUCCGCGACAGCGAUAAGUUUCGCUGGAUGGGACCUUGUAGAUAUGAUUGGUCAGGAUUUAAAAAGAUAUUAGCAAAUAAGGGAUACGAGGGUGAAAUCGAGCUGCUAUCGGAUCCAUGUCACCCGGCAGGAAGCACCAGGUGCAUGAAGAAUUGCUUACGUUGCCUGCAGCACAUGCACAAUAGCAUCCCCGACCAGGAAAUCUCCAGGUGGAUAACGGUCAGAGGAAAGUUCUUCAUGGUGUUCGGCGCGAACGUGUCGUGCGCGUGCUCGAGGUGUCCUAUGGGCUUCAGUCCUCAUUGCCACGUAGGUGAUGGCUGCGUGGAUGUGAUCCUAAUACGACAUACAUCCUUAAUAAACAAUAUCAGAUUAUUGCUCAGGCUGUCCAGCAAACGGAAAACUGUGUACGAGCUACCGUUCGCCGAGGUCUACCGGGCGAGAGAAUUCACAUUCCGCGCCCUGCCGACGCUGCAAUUCGAGAACGGGCCGAACACGACCCGCUCGAGUUCGCGGCUCAGCGUGUGGAAUUGCGACGGCGAGGUGGUCGACAGCACCAACGUGAAAAUCAGGGUACACUGCCAAUUACUGAAGGUCUACACGAGACGGACCCAGGAAUCGUCUCGAGAUCCGACGUGCCUCAGCUGUUCUAUGUGAACGAGUCGGAACAAGGUCGUCGAACGACCAGUCUUUCAAGGCUAUAAAUUCCACUUCGCACUUUCGAAGGCGUAAAUUAUUCUUGGUUUUGUUAUAGUUGCAGCGAUAAAUAAAAUUUGUAAAAUUUUAAUAAAUUACACUAUACCGUUA
rnacentral:misc_RNA from 1 species